rnacentral:rRNA from 1 species
AAAUUGAAGAGUUUGAUCAUGGCUCAGAUUGAACGCUGGCGGCAGGCCUAACACAUGCAAGUCGAACGGUAACAGGAAGCAGCUUGCUGUUUCGCUGACGAGUGGCGGACGGGUGAGUAAUGUCUGGGAAACUGCCUGAUGGAGGGGGAUAACUAC